rnacentral:lncRNA from 1 species
CCCAAUUUGUCGGCAAAAGAGGUUCUGAGCUGCAGAGAUCUUUGCAAGGUCAGUGCUAAAUACCCUGAACGGAAUGGAUCACCAAAGCGUCGUGUGAUUGAACAGCACAAUGGAAAGCGGCAUGCUCCUGAUUGGAUCCUACUGUAGGAAAAGAGCAGGAGCCUCGAAUGAACAGUGGAGGUAGUAUAUACAGUACCUAGCAUUUAAGAUUGAACCGAGAAACCAGAAAAAAAGGUCACGAGGUGGGAGUGGAUCAAUGCACACUGUCCCUCCAGUGGUUGCAUGGUGUUGAAGACAUGGCAGAAGUUCCUGGCCCUACAGAGAGACAUGCUCAGAGGUGAAGGAAGCCGAGCAUGCAAGGAAAAUGGUUGGAGGUCCUUGGAGUAAAUUCUCUCUGCAGCAGCGCAGAGCAGCGUGAUCGCCUCGCAGAGUUGCAUCG